rnacentral:rRNA from 1 species
CGCGGUUAAACCAAGAAAUUAAGUUAUAUUUUUAGGUAAAAAAGUAGUUAGGUUAAAUAAUAAUGUUUAUCAACCCUUUAUAUAAAAGUAAAAUUUAAAUAUAAAUUGCUUGUAUAAUUAUAACUAUAUUGCUGAAGCUACGAAAAUCACGAGGGAAACUGGGAUUAGAUACCCCAUUAUUCUUGAUUGUAAAUAUAAGACUAAUUUACCAGAGUACUAUGAAUACUCAAGAUUUAAAACUCAAAGGGCUUGGCGGUGUUUUAGACCAAUCAGGGGAACCUGUCUCAUAAUCGACAAUCCACGUUAGACCUAACCUACUUUUGCAAACAGCUUGUAUACCGUUGUCGUCAGGUAACUUUUGAAAAUCUAGAAGUUGGCAAUAUUAAUUACUAUAAAUUUAAACGUCAAAUCAAGGUGCAGUUUAUAAGUGGGAGAAGAUGGGUUACAAUUAUAUAUUUAUAAUUACGGAAAAUUAUUAUGAAAUCAGAUUUAAAGGAGGACUUGAAAGUAAAAUAUUUUAGAUAAACAAUUUGAAUAAGGCUCUG